rnacentral:rRNA from 1 species
UACAGAGGUCCCAAGCCGUUGUUCGGAUUCAUUGGGCGUAAAGGGUGCGUAGGUGGCGCGUUAAGUCAGGUGUGAAAUUUCGGAGCUUAACUCCGAAACUGCAUUCGAUACUGCGGUGCUUGAGGACUGGAGAGGAGACUGGAAUUCAUGGUGUAGCAGUGAAAUGCGUAGAGAUCAUGAGGAAGACCAGUGGCGAAGGCGGGUCUCUGGACAGUUCCUGACACUGAGACACGAAGGCCAGGGGAGCAAAACGGG